UCAAUUUACAUGGAUUCUGCUGCCUAUUUUCUAGACUAUAUUUUUGCGUUUUCAAAUCUUCUGUGGUUUUUCAGUGAUUACUGAUUAGUGAUGUUGGGGUUUAAUUUGGGGGUUAUAUUUAUUUAAUUUUCAUGUGAUUAUAGAUCCGAGAAAUAAGGCGUGAUUAAAUUUGAAAAAAAUAUAUAUUUAUAUUUUGAUGUGAAUUGUUUGCAUUUGUUCGUAGAAUAUUAUUUGAAUUACCUAAACCUAAUCAUCUGUUGUAGUAAUUAUUCAUAAACAAGUAUGGUAAUAUAAUUUCGAUUUCUCACUUAAAUACUGUAUCAAGAAUCAUAAGAACAUCUAAUUUGGAGUUAGGUUUAUGGAUUUGUGAUUCACUCAUCUGAAUUUGGGGGUUUUCAUUCCUAGGUUAUAUAGAUUCUGCAGGGUUUAAGAGAUUUCACUACACACACAUUUCAGUGUGUGAAUAUGAAUACUACUCUCAAACACGAAUAUCGAUUUUCUAGUAUUUGUCGAUUCGAAGAUGUGUUAGAGAAUUUCUCAGUUUAUGUAUAUGGUCUACAUGUAUUAUAUUAGGAUAAGCAUCAUUUGAAUUGAUUCACAAAGUCAAUGAGAGAUCCCUUCCUUGAGUUGACUUUCGUAUAUCUAUAUUUUUAUUUUUAUUCUGAUUUUUUCGUUAUCGAAAAUGAAUUAAUUACCACCUUGUUAAUGAAUGACGUGCAGAAUGGUGAUGGUGCAGGUGCUUGGUCAAAGUCACACAUUCCUAAAUUAGUUGCAAAUAAACGGGGUUUCGCCAAAUCCAUGGAGCCAAUUUUUUGCUAAGUUGUAACCAUUUCUACAACUGUAUCGAAUUUUAUAAUAUACAUACAUUUUUGCGUAAUUUUUUGUGUUUCGGAAUCCGAUGAAGGCGCAAGAACUUGCUGCAUUGGAAGCAGAUUUGAACAGGAGAGAAACGGUCGGUUUAUUUCUCGUCUGACUUUACGCUGUUGAUUAGAAGUUAUGUUGGAAAUUGAUGCAUCUGUGUUGAAUCUUGGUUUAUUUCAUUCCUUCGUUUUUUUAUGUUUUUUAUGCUCUUCUCGUAAUCGGAAAGAGUAGUAAUCCGUACAUAUUUAUUCAUCUGCUCUGUUCAUAUGCGAUGAUGUUCUUAUGUUAGAUGAUGGUCAACUAUGGAAAAAAAAGCAUUGCAUCGAAAUAUUUAUCGGUUUUACUUUAGCCUGUUUUCAUUUACGAAUUUUAUGACUGUAAAUUGUAAUCGAUUCUCGUUGAUUUCAGGACAUUCGACGUAGGGAAGAAGCUGUUUCAGGGGGUAAGCUUCGUUCUUGGACUAUUUGUCGUGUUCCGAUUUAUUUUGCUUUUAACUUUUUUUUUUCGUCAUUCCUCUGCUUCAGCUGUAGUUCGGACGGAUAAACGAAAUUGGCCCCCGUGUUUCCCCAUUAUUCACCACGACAUAGCCAAAGAAAUCCCGAUUCAUGCUCAGAAGCUGCAGUAUCUCGCCUUUCUAACUUGGCUAGGUUGUGUAUUAUAUGGUGUUCUCUUGUUUAUUUAAGAAUCGAUAUUCGUCGUGUCGUGUCUGAAAAUUUAAGUUACGUUUAUCGUCACAGGCAUUGUUCUUUGCCUCGUGUUCAAUGUUGUCGCCAUCACUGUUUGUUGGAUAAAGGGCGGCGGUAAGUUCCUUUUGUUCGGCAUUUUUUUUCCUUCCGUUUUCCGAUCUCUCGUCAAAGUCAACGAAGGUGCCAUGUUUUUGUAGGGGUCAAGAUUUUCUUCCUUGCAAUAAUCUAUGCCUUCAUCGGAUGCCCGCUUUCGUACGUACUAUGGUACAAACCUUUGUAUAACGCGAUGAGGUACGUCUGUAUGCACAAUUAUUCUCCGUACGAUCUCGUCUCGGGUAUUACUUUGAUUCUUUGUAUUAACGGCAGUUUCUCCGAUAUUCAGGACUGAUAGUGCCUUGAGAUUCGGCUGGUUUUUCAUGUUCUAUUUGGUACGUUUAAUUUUCGUCGUUGAAUAUUUAAAAAAAAAAUAUCGACUAAGGCGUAACCGUUAACUCAAUUUCACUGUGCAGCUUCAUAUUGCUUUUUGCAUAUUCGCUGCAAUUGCACCGCCGGUUAUCUUUCGCGGAAAAUCAUUAACGUAAGUUUGAAUUAACUCGUCUUUAUGAACCGAAUGUGUUUUCUUUUUUCACUUUAUCGACUAAUGUUUACCGUUUUUUUUCUUGGUAUUAGGGGCAUCCUUGCUGCAAUUGAUGUCUUCUCCGACAGUGCGUUUGUCGGGGUGAGUGUUACUAUUGAUGCUUAUACGUGUAUAGUAGAACCUCGAUAAACUGUUAACCUCGUUUAAAUAAUAAUUUAUGUCGGUCCCGACUCGGUGAAAACGUAUAAAACUAUUAUUUCGAUAAUUUAAUAUUUCGCGAAAUUAAUAGAAUUCUGCUAGUCCCGACUGUAUUAACUUUAUAUGAAUACAGUUAAACCUUUAUAAGUUAAUACAGACGAGACUAGGAAAAUUCUAUUAAUUUAGUGAAUUGUUAAAUUAUCGACUUAAUAAUAUAACACGUUUUCACCGAGUCGGGACCGAGAAAAAAUAUUAAUUUUAUCGAGGUUAAUAAUUUAUCGAGUAUUAAUUUAAUGCAGAUAUUUUACUUGGUUGGAUUUGGAUUGUUCUGUUUGGAAUCGCUGUUGAGCUUCUGGGUACUCCAGGUUAGAGAAUUAAUAACUGCAUUUUUUUAGUUAGUAAAAGUUUUUAUUUGCAUUUAUUGUCUUAAAGUUCGGGAAAAGUGUACUUUUAGUCCCUUUAGUUUACCUGGAUUUCAUUAUUGGCCUUCCUCAUUGUUUACAAAAAACAGAUUUAGUCUCUCAUGUUUUAAAAAUUCAACAUUGUUAGUUAUUUCCGCCAAUUUUCCGGUACUACUGACGGAAUCAAUCAUGUGUUGAUCAAUGCCUUAACUGAAGGACUAACUAUAAAUCGACGGAAAUGAUCAGGAGCGUUUAAUUAUUGAAACAUGAGGGAGUAAAUGUGUCUUUUUGUGAACACGAGGACCAAAUGUGAAAUCGUUUACAAACUUGAGGGAUGAAAACUGUAAAUUUCUCCUUAAAAUUCUGAUGUAGUUCGUAUGUAAUGUGACUAGGGCUGGAAAUUGAACAAUACAUGAAUUCUACUUGGACGUAUAUUUUCGAAAAUAUUUUUGAAAAUGUUGAUUUUAGUCCUGAAAAUUAUAUAAUAAUAUCAAUAUUAUAUGUAAUUUAUAAUGUGGUUUUUUUUUUCUAAUCUAUUUUUGUUGAUUUUUUUUUUUAUCUCUUUUGCAGAAAAUAUAUUCGUUUAUUCGGGGGAACAAGUAAUUCUGCAAAUUUCAUUGAGAUGAGUUGCCCAAGUACAUAUUUUUCCCCUCGAGUGAGUUUGCGUGAAGUUAUUCGUUUUUUUAGGUGAUUUUUUGUUUUGAUGAUUCAUUUUAUUUAAUAUGUUAAUUAUCAUAGGGUGGCUGAAUUGUGCAUUAUAAUUUCUCUUUGGGUAAUGUAUUGAUAUAUUUUUUUCUUAGUAAUUAGGAUUUGUUACUUAAUGUUUUUAUUUUUUAAUACUUUUUUCAUUAAUAAAAAGAGUGCUAAUGGUGUUUAUAUUUUGUUGAUUGGCAAUUUUACACAUGAGUGUAGGACCAUCGGAUUUCUAAAUUGUUAGAAGAUGUUACGCUCGUCACUCUGUGUAUUUCAUCGAGUUAUAUUUUAUCGUAUACGUGUAUAAAUUUGUACAUAUAUGUGACACGUCUACAUUACUAUGGAUACAAGAGCGUGACAAAAAUAGAGAUAACAAAAUUGGCAAGUGAUUAGAGAGCUGUUACGCACAUAGUAAUUACAGAAUUGUCACUCAUCAAGUAAUUAUUGUAGUUACAAAACUGUCACUCAACAUCGUAAUUAUAGAAUUAUCUCUCAACAAAUAAUUACAGAACCGCCAUUGACAGUAAUUAUAAAAGUGUCACUCAUCAAGUAAUUACGAAACUGUUAUUCAUCAAGUAGUUAUAGAACUCUCAUUCAGCAGCAAUUAGAGAACUACCACUCAACAAAUAAUUACGUAACUGCCACUCAACAAAUAAUUACACAAUCGCCACUCAACAACAAUAUGAACUUGUUACGUCUUAUUUUCAGAAGAGAUUCAUAAAAUAUUUGAACGAGCUUAUAAGCUAUUCUUUACUCGUUGUUGUCCAUUUAAAAAAAAAAAAAAAAAAAAAACUUGAACAUAUUACAAUGGUUUUGAAAGUCAAAAUUUCAAUUUGGAUCAAAACAAAAAGGUCCAUACUAGUUUACCAUGGCACUCAUCCACACACAAACACACCCCACACCCUCACAACCCUCAUCUCUUACCAAUCCAUCAUCCUCUUGCCACGUGGCACAUAAUAUCCAAACUUCAACACAUGACCACCAACCCUUUCUCCAUGCCUACUUUUAAUCACAAACACAUCAUCCAUCUCCUUAUCAAAAUAUUUCACCAUUUUAUUUAAUCAUAAUAAUAACACUAAUUAUUAUUAUUAGAUAAAAUCAAUUGUAAAAGGAGAUAAUUUAAAACUCCAAACUCCAAUUUUUUCAAUAAAAAUAAUAAUUUUUAAUUUUGUGUAUAAAAACCCAAUAAAAAGUGACACGUCACACUCCCCCUCAUCUAAACCAAACAGGCUUUUCUGUCCAACUAAACUGCCACCUGUAUUUUACUCUCACUAUAGCCUCUUCUUUUAUUUUUUUAUUUAUCCUCACACUUCUUCUUUUUCUUUUUUUUAUAUAAUAAUUUAAUUUCAUUAAAAAAAAUUAAUGUCCUCAAAACAAUUUAAAAUUAAAAAAAAAAAUCCCAAUAACAUCACUCCCACACCACUCCAUUUCUAGCUUCAUCUCUCUAAACACACACUUCUAGAGAGAGAAACAAGAGAGAGAAAGAGAGAAACAACAAUGGCGGUCUGUACUGUGUACACAGUCCAAUCCCUCAACUCAACCUACUCAAUCUCCACCACACCGGCGAAGAAAAACAACUUGCUGGGUUUCAACCAGAAGCAGGCCGUCGUUUUCUACAGCCGGAAAACCACCACCGCCACCAGAAGCGGCAGACCCGGCGCCGCCGUGAUAUCAUGCUCCGCCGCGGACAAAACAAUCGUGAUUGGGCUGGCGGCGGACUCCGGCUGCGGGAAGAGCACAUUCAUGCGGCGGCUGACGAGCGUAUUCGGCGGCGCCGCCGAGCCACCGAAGGGCGGGAACCCGGACUCGAACACGCUGAUCAGCGACACCACCACCGUGAUUUGUCUCGACGACUACCACUCACUGGACAGAACCGGACGGAAGGAAAAGGGAGUAACCGCACUGGACCCGAGAGCCAAUGAUUUCGAUCUCAUGUACGAACAGGUUAAAGCGAUUAAAGACGGCGUCGCCGUCGACAAACCGAUUUAUAACCACGUCUCCGGUCUGUUGGACCCGCCGGAGCUGAUUAAACCGCCCAAGAUUCUCGUUAUUGAAGGAUUACAUCCAAUGUAAGUGUGUGUUAAUUAGUUAUUUAUUUAUUUAUUUACUUUAAUUAUUAUUGCAUGCAUAGUAGAGAAAAAAAGAAGGGCUAUCUUUAAUUCUAUGGUUGAGGAGUGAAGAAGAUUGUCCACGUCAUCAUAUAUGACACGUGGUCAUCUGACACGCACUCUUUAUCACUUCGGUUUUUUCCUAUGUACAUAUUUACCAAAAGGGUAAAUUACGAAACAACCCCUAAACUUAGGCCAAAUAACAAAAAACACCCUCACCUGUUCGUAAUUACCAAAAACCUUCUGAUGUUUGUUCUCGUCUUACACGAACCUCCUUACAGUGUGACUUUUCAAUGAUUUUUUUUUUAUAUUUCCGGGAAUAGACUUUACACAAUUUCAGAUAUUUUAUUUUAUUUCUCACAUAUUUAACACGAGGUAUAUAAUAGAUUGUACAUACUUUCUGUUAAAAAACUCGAUCAACAGUUAAUCAGAGAGGAAUUUUGGUUAUUACGGAUAGGUGGAGGUGUUUUUCGUUAUUUAAUCUAAGUUCAUGAGGUUUUCUUAAUUUAUCCUAAAAAAAUAAAAAUAAAAAAUCAAAUUCUAUUACAAAAUCGAGAAAAUAGGGGAGACGCAGGAUUUGAACCAUAGGCCUCUACUCUAACCAAAAUCGAACCUAUUGGUAUGAAUUUCAAGACUAUCAAUGAAUUUUACAUGUCUUCGAUACUAAAACCGAAGAUAUUUUCUUUUAUUUUUAAGAAUAUUUAUAUUACUAUAGUAUAAUACUCUUAAAAAAACAUAUUUUUAUUUAAACAACUAGUUGUAUUAUAUUAUAUUAAAAAAAAUGUUUUUGAAUAUUUUGUUAAUUAUAUGCGAGGCUUCUGUAUAUAAUAGGUACGAUUCACGAGUAAGAGAUCUUUUGGACUUCAGUAUUUACCUGGACAUCAGCAAUGAAGUUAAAUUCGCUUGGAAAAUUCAGGUAAAUUCAUAUAUAUAUAUAUAUAUAUAUAUAUAUAUUUAAUUUGAAAAUAAAAUUGGUAAUUAUAAAUUUAAUCUGAUUAAUAAUUAAUUAUAUUGUUGGAUGGAAAUGAAGAGGGACAUGGCUGAAAGAGGACACAGCCUUGAAAGCAUCAAAGCUAGUAUUGAAGCCCGAAAACCCGAUUUUGAUGCUUACAUUGGUAACUUUUUAUCUUUCCCUUACCUCAAUCUCGAUUACGGGGCCGAAAUCGGAACAAAACUUCUCGAUUCCGUCAUUUCUCUCAUUUUUAUCACAAAAAAAUCGAUGUUUUGACUUUCGAAAACUAAACUACCAUCGAAAUCAAAAUGAUUUCUGAUCGGAAUUUAUCUCUAUUUUUUUUUUCGGAAAUCAAAAUAAAAAUUCCAAAUUUCGCCGAUUUCAAUCUGGAAAUCCAACAUUAUAAUAUAUUUAUUUUCUCGUUGAUUUCAGAUUUCUAGUUUUUUGCCGAAUUAGUUCAUCACUUUUACAAGAAUACAAAAUCCUAAUAUUUUUCAAGAAAAUGCUAACUCUAAUCAGAUACGUCCGAUUUCCAUUCCUAACCUCAUUCGAAACACACAAAAAAAAAAAAAACACAAUAAAAUUUGAACAUAAAUGCUAAUACUUUUUCUCAUCGGAUUCCAAUUCUCAUCGAUACAUCGGAAUUUACAUUCCUAACCUCGUUUUGUUUGCAGAUCCACAGAAGCAAUACGCAGACGCAGUGAUAGAAGUUUUGCCAACACAGCUAAUUCCAGAUGACAAUGAAGGCAAAGUUCUAAGAGUGAGAUUGAUUAUGAAAGAAGGUAUUAAAUUUUUCAAUCCCGUUUACCUUUUCGACGAAGGCUCCACUAUUUCGUGGGUCCCGUGUGGACGGAAAUUGACUUGCUCUUACCCCGGCAUCAAAUUCACCUACGGCCCCGAUACUUACUACGGCAACGAGGUAUACUCCACAAUUUGCGUCUUUUUUCUUUAACUGCGUUUGGAUUGAAGAAUUUAGAUUCGAAAUGAGACAAUUAGUCCAAAUUAUAUGAAUUUGAAAGCCAACGCCACGACUCGAAACGAGAGCUAAGAAUUUGAAAUUAGUCAUUAGUUCGGAUAGAAAUUCAACACGAGUGACACUGUGGGUGUAUUUUGAACGGAAAUUUUGAAUUCCGAAACUUCCGAUUCUGAUUUUUUUUUACGGAAUUGGAAUACAUAUUAGAUUCCGGGUUUCAAUCUGAUUUAAUAUUCAAAACUAUUUCCGAAAAUUUUGAUAAUUUUGUGAAAACAACACUUAUAAUUAUCAAUAUUGUUUUGUAUUUUGUAUUAGAGUUACUUACAAAAUUGGAAUUUUCGAAUUCCGCCCAUUCCGACCCCAAAAUUUCCAAUUUUGGAACAAAAGUUUUUUUAAUUCCAAUUUCCAAAAUUCUGAUUCCCGAUUUUUUCUUUCUGUAACAGGAUUGGAAUUACUUUCAACAUAAAAAAUAAAAAUUGAAAAUUUUCUGGAAAUUGUUAUUUAGAUCCAAUCCACCUGAUUUCCAUCCCUAGAUUUAUUACAUUUAGCACCCAUGUUUUGCACUCGUACCAAAAUAUUAGCAAAAUCCUCCCUAUAAUUCAAUUUUAUUAGCAAACUACCCCCUAAUAUCACAUCAUUUAGGAGGUUGUAUGCUAAAAAAAACGCAUCAUACGAGAAAACGCAAUUAAUUAUACUUGUCGUUGUUCUUCGUAUCUAUAACAACAGGUCUCGGUAUUGGAAAUGGACGGGCAAUUCGACAGACUGGACGAACUGAUUUACGUGGAAAGCCACCUCAGCAACAUAUCCACCAAAUUCUACGGUGAAAUAACUCAGCAAAUGUUGAAGCUUUCCGAUUUCCCAGGCAGCAACAACGGCACCGGUCUUUUCCAAACAAUCGUCGGCCUCAAAAUCAGAGACCUUUACGAGCAGAUCAUCGCAACCCGAGCCGCUGCUCCAUUGGAAGCUACAAAGGCCUGAAAAAUAAAAUUAAUAAAAAAUCGCACGUAAUAUCAUAAUAUGAGACAGGCUCUUCGGCUGUCUAAUUUUUUUUCUCUCUCCUCUCUCUCGUGUUGUUGUUGUUGUUAUCAGUUGUGUGUUAUAGAUGAACAUUGAACAGAGAAAUUUCGACGUUUAUUUGUAUUUUUUUACGUUCGGUCGAACAAAAACUUUGUGGAGACUUUGUAACAUAGAGAAACAAGAAGCACAUAAAAAAAAGGAUUAUGUAAUCGUCUUUGGCAAAUACCGUUCCGACUCUGAACGUGAUUUUAACUAUUUUCGAGUUUGAAUUUGCCAGAACUCGAAAAAUGGAAUUUGUGGUAGUUUGACUUAACUUUCUAAUCCAACUUGAAAAGAAUUAUAGAUGAAUGAAUGAAUCAACUAACACUGUCACACCUUUGAUGUUUUGAAAUUCAAUAUACAACUAGUUUGUACGUAACUUUAUUACAUGCCAUCCAAUUUAGUUGUUUCAAGUUGGAUUAGAAUGAUAACUCAAAGGACUACAGUUUUUGUGUUCUGAAUUUUUCCAAAAUCAGCUAAAAAGGAUUAAAAAUACCUUGGAACUGAUAAACGAUAUUAAUAAAAUUAAAACGACAUUUAACAUUUUUUUUUUUUUUUUUUUUUGGCAUUUCAAUAUUACAACAUGUGUGCGAAGUUAUAAUAAUUUAUGAUCCAAUCAUAUCUUAUUUUAUUUUAAAACUCAAAUCAUGUUUGGCAUGCCAAAUUAUAUUUCACAUUUAUUGUUAAAAAAUAAUUUAUGGUCAUAUCCACGGUGCAAUUAUGCAAUUGCAUGUGUGAAUCAAGACAUUAAGACAUGUUUGGCUAAACUUAUAAAUUGUUGAUAAAUUCUUGCGCUCGGUAAGUGUUUUAAGAGACGUAAGUUGUUACUUCUUAUUUUUAUACUUAAUUUUUAGAAUAUUUGGAUAUUAAGCUUGUCUUAUUUAUAAUUAAUUUAUAAAGUAUUUGAAUAAUGAGCUGUUACAUCUUAUGUGCUCUCCAACAACUUAUUUUUUAUUUUUUUAAAUUUUAACAUAUUAAAAAAAAAUUAACAUUUCAAAAGAGCUUACAGGCUCUAAAACAUCUUAUGAGCUUAUUUUGUCAAAGAUAAAUAAUAAAUAUCUAUUAAUUAUGGAAAAUGUAAAUCAUUACAUUAUGAUAUAUUUAAAUUAAUGUCUUAAAAUCUUGCUCAUAUUUUAUGUUCACACUUUAUUUAUUUUCAAGUUGAGGUAUUUAUUCCAAACCCCAUAUCUUAAGAUUGGAAGGCAAGUACAAUUUAAAAGGUAAUAUUCUAUAAUUAAUUAUUUAUUUUUUAUAUACACAAUUAAUCCAAAGAGAAUAUUCUCAUUAAGCCAAAGUCACACAGCCCAUGAAAUGAGGGACUCUUCAUAAUCUAUCUCACGCCACCUUUACACGGCGGAGCGCCGCCCCGGGAAGAAAUUCAUCAGACAAGAAAAGAAUUCACUCACUAAAAGUCAAAAAGGAAUCUCCAAACCCUAGAAAAAAAAAAGACUGUAAAAGAACUCCCCGGAAGCCUCGAGCAUCUCCCUCCGCCACCUUUACUCUAUUCCCUCCGCCGCCAUUAAAACACACACACACACACACAAACUUUCGGACAAAUCCAGAAGGAAACCCUCAAAACCCCAAAAGGGUUUUCAAAUUUCACACACACACACACACACUUUCAGACACAACUGAGAGACUAACCGACCUUUUCAAGAAAAGCCCACCAAGAAAAUAUUCUUUUCUUGAAACCCCACUUUUUUUUUUUUUUUUUUGAGAUAAUCUUGAACACCCCUUUUAAUUCUUCCCAAUUUCUGUUUUUUUUUGUCUGAACAAAAAAAAAAAAAAAGAAAAAAAAAUGGCAACCAUAGCUGAUAUUGGGGUAUCAGCACUAAUAAACAUACUGAGCAUGUUAGCUUUCUUGAUUGCGUUUGCUCUGCUUAGAAUUCAGCCAAUCAACGACAGAGUUUACUUUACCAAAUGGUACAUUGCCGGAAAAAGGAGCAGCCCUAGAAACAGAGGUGGUGGUGUGGUGGGCAAAAUCGUCAAUCUCAAUUGCAAGACUUAUCUCUCUUUCCUCAACUGGAUUCCCCAAGCUCUCCAGAUGUCUGAGUCCGAAAUUAUCGCCCACGCCGGCUUCGAUUCGGCCGUGUUCUUGAGGAUUUACUUACUUGGGUAUAUAUUUUCAAGAUUCCAUUUUUCUUUAAAUCUUUUUAUUUUUAUUUUUUUUCUGUUUAGUUUAGAAUUUUUUUUCGUUAUUGAAUGGUUUUCGUGUUCUUGCAAACUUAUGUGGUUUUUAGUUGCAUUAUUUUUCUGUCCGGUUUCGAGUGUUUGUGUGUUCGUAUUCGUAAAUACUUGCACGUUUUUCGAUAGUUGUUUCGAAUUAUGUGGUUUUUCGUGUUCUUACAAACUUAUGUGGUUUUUAGUUGCAUUAUUUUUCUGUCCGGUUUCGAGUGUUUGCGUGUUCCUAUUCGUAAAUACUUGCAAGAUUCCAUUAUUUAUUUAUUAAUAUUUUUUCGAUAAUUGUUUUGAAUUAUUCUAGUUGUUGAAGGGUUCGUCGUGGUUUUUAUAAUUUUCGAAGAAGUUAUAAACUUAAGUUGUUUCUACUUGCAUAUUUCGAAUCCCUUUUUAAUUACUAAGGUUAUGUUGCUUUUUCGGUAAUUACGUACGAGGAAGAAUGAGAGAGAGGAGCAGGACAUAAAGAAUACUUUUUUGAUGAAAUGAAAAAUAAAAAUUGAAGAGAGGAUUCAAAUUUCGUUAUCAAAAUUGUGUUCGAUCCUCGUGUCUCGUAUUCGUCUUUCGGAGAUUCUUACACAUUUUGUUCUUUCCAACUUUUGACAGUUUGAAAAUAUUCGGACCAAUAGCGGUUGUGGCACUCCUAGUUCUGAUUCCGGUAAACGCUUCGGGUGGAACUUUAUUUUUUCUGAGUCGUGACUUGGUUGUUAGCAACAUCGACAAGCUCUCGAUAUCAAACGUUCGUCCAAAGUCUUAUAAGUAAGUUAUUUGAAUGAUUGAAUUACCAUUUUCCAUUUUACGUUUCGAAUCGCUUAUCUUUUCCGGAUAUUUAGUGUUCGUAAACUAUUCCGAUUGAAUUUCAGGUUCUUUGUGCACAUAUCUAUGGAAUACUUAUUUACAUUUUGGGCUUGUUACAUGCUUUACAAAGAAUACGAUAGAGUUGCGUCUAUGAGGCUAAAAUUUUUGGCUUCAAAAGACAGGUGCCCCGAACAAUUCACGGUUAGUUCAUUUGACGUUGCAAUUAUUAUUUUUAUUAUGAUAUUAACUAUUAUUAUGAUAUUAACUAUUAUUAUGAUAUUAAGUAUUAAUAUUCAAAUUUUCCUGCAUUUAUAUGUUCGAAAACUAUAGUUGUCUAUAUUUGAACUGCACACAGGUUCUUGUUCGAAACGUGCCACAUAUUUCUGGACAUACGGUUUCCGAUAGUGUCGAGAGCUUCUUUCAGAAAAAUCAUCCAGGUCAAUAUCUGUGUCACCAGGUAAUUAUUUUGUUUCCCAAGAAAAAUAAAAUUAAAAGACCUUUUUUUUUUGAAUUCCUAUGAUAAAUGAAAAAAGAUCUUCAUUCUUUCAACUCAAUUUAAUAACCUGUUUUUGGUAUUCUUAUUACAACCCAGGGUGUAUACAGUGCUAAAAAGUUCGCCAAACUUGUUAAGAAAAGAAGCAAGCUUCAAAAUUGGCUCGAUUACAACCAACUCAAGUUCGAGAGACAGCCAGACAAAAGGCCUACACGAAAGGUACACUUUUUUCGUGUACUUGCAAUAAAAAUAGCAUUUUGAUUAUUUGAUAAAUAUCUUAUUACACGUUUUUGUCAUUCAGACAGGAUUUCUCGGACUUUGGGGCAAAAGGGUCGAUUCCAUCGACUUCUACAACCAAGAAAUUAAAGAUCUUGACGAAAAAGUACGAUUUUUUUUUUCAAAAAGUUGCUACAUUUAUAUUCGCUUUCUAAAAAGAAUUGAUUUUUAUAAUCCCUUGUGCUCAAUUAGAUGAUAAUCGAGCGGCAGAAAAUAAUGAAAGACCCUAAAUCAGUAAUGCCAGCUGCAUUUGUUUCGUUCAAAUCGAGAUGGGGAGCAGCCGUUUGUGCACAGACACAACAGAGCAAGAAUCCGACGCUUUGGCUUACAAGGUGGGCCCCGGAGCCACGUGAUGUGUACUGGAAGAAUCUUGCAAUUCCGUUUGUGUCCCUCACAAUUCGGAAACUCAUGAUUUCGGUAUUAUUGUUCGCAUUGGUCUUCUUUUACAUAAUACCGAUCGCUUUCGUACAAUCGUUGGCCAAUUUAGAAGGGCUCGAGAGGGUUGCUCCUUUUCUCAGGCCAAUAAUCGAAUGGUAAGUGGCAACGAAAAAAAUAAUUUUUUUAUUAAUUAUUAAUAUUUUUUUUUUCUAAAAUUGUCAACUUUCUUUUUUUUUUUAUGUAGGAAGCUGGCGAAGUCAUUUCUGCAGGGAUUUGUUCCCGGUUUAGCUCUUAAAAUAUUUUUAUUCGUUCUCCCUUCGAUUUUAAUGAUUAUGUCGAAAAUCGAAGGGCACGUUUGUUUAUCCGUAUUAGAAAGAAGAACCGCCGCAAAAUACUACUAUUUCAUGUUAGUCAACGUUUUCUUGGGUAGCAUAGUGGCUGGAACAGCUUUCCAACAACUCCAUGCUUUUCUUCACCAAUCCGCCACACAGUAAUAUUUUUUUUCCCGAUAAUUUUAAUUUUCAAAUAAUUCGAAUAUUAUUUUAAUUUUUUUAUAUGUUAUUUUGAAGGAUCCCGAGAAAUAUAGGCGUGUCGAUUCCGAUGAAAGCCACUUUCUUUAUUACAUAUAUAAUGAUCGACGGUUGGGCUGGUAUUGCUGGCGAAAUUCUCCGGUUGAAGCCUUUGGUGAUUUUCCAAUUAAAGAAAAUGUUUAUUGUGAAAACGGAACGGGAUUUGGAGAAGGCAAUGGACCCUAAAAGCAUCGAUUUUCCCGAGACUUUACCGAGCCUUCAAUUGUAUUUUCUUCUUGGCACUGUGUACAUGGCUGUCACUCCGAUUCUUCUUCCUUUUAUACUGAUUUUCUUCGCCUUCGCCUUCUUUGUAUAUCGUCACCAGGUUAGUUAUAUAAUUGAAUUUAUUGAAAAUUCUUGAAAUUUACAAGAUGGAACUUUUAUUGGUUAAUUGCGUUCAGCACCCUUGUAUUUUCAAUAUUAGCAACCCCCCCCCCCCCCCUAAAAAUGCAUCUUAAAAAUUUGCAUCCUAUGGGGUUUUUUUUGCUAAUAUCUACAAUACAAGGACUUUUUUGGCAAUUCAAUAUAACCCAGGGGACUGAAUGCAAUAAAUUCAUGCAGGUGAUUAAUGUGUACAACCAAAAAUACGAGAGUGCAGGUGCGUUUUGGCCGCAUGUGCAUGGUCGAAUUAUCGGGAGCUUGAUAAUAUCGCAGUUGCUAUUAAUGGGUUUAUUGAGCACGAAAAAAGCUGCAAACUCGACUCCGUUUCUCGUGGUCUUACCUAUAUUGACUUUGACUUUCCAUCAAUAUUGCAAGAGUCGCUUCGAACCGGCAUUCAGAAAGUACCCUCUCGAGGUCAGAAUUGUUGGAACACUAUAAAAUUAUUUUUCUCGUUUUUCUUCUGUCGUAUUUAUUUUAAUCUUUGAAAAUUAAAAAAAAAAAAUUGAAAUUAAAAAAAUAUUUGUUGAUUAAUCACUUUUAAAAUGCAGGAAGCCACGACUAAAGAUACACAAGAUGAAGCGUCUUCUGCAUCUGAUAUCGAAUUAAAAUCGUACUUGUCCGAUGCAUACUUGCAUCCGAUUUUCCAUGCUGUGGAAGAAGUGGAGUUGACCGAAGUCAAAGUGGAUAAACCGAGGCCUAGAUGAAUGGAAAGUAAUAUGUAUAGCCUAGGUGUGAUAUAGGUUAAUAUAACCAUACCGUUUAGCGUUAUCGGAGUUUGAUUUUUCUAUAUAUAUAUCGGUGUUUAGUUUACGUAUAUAAAGCUUUAACUGAGUCUUUUGCAGUUAUCAGAUAGGGUUUAACAUAUAUUGUUAAGAAGCUCAUAUGCUAAUUUUCAGUUGUAGGUUUUGUUAACUGAUGAUGUAAAUGUGUGGAUAUUUGAUUUUUUUAAUUUAAUUAAUUGACCUUCUUAUGUCUCUGCUUAACAAGAGAAUGUGAUUUAUUUAUUUAAUAUUUUUUUUUUGGUUGGUAUUAUAAUUAUUGAAAUAUAUAUAUUGAUAAAUAUAUCCAAGUAAAAAAAAAAUUAUUGCAUUUUUGAGAUAUCAUAAACCCUUUAGUUUCUAAUUUUAUUUAUUUAUUUAUUUUGAAAUAUUUUUUAUUGGAAUUGGAAUUGGAAUUGUAUAUAAAAAUUCCAAUUUCGAAAUUGGAAUUUAUUUUUGAAAAUAAUUAUGACUUAUUUUUUUUUGCAUAAUAUAACAUUUACUAGUACUACACCCGUGCGUUGCACGUGAUAUCAUUAUAAAAGCAAUAAUAAAAAGAUUCUCGAAAUAAUACGAUCAAUUGUUGAUAUGCAAUACAAAGAAGUAGAAAAAUAUUAAAAAAAAUAUAUAUAUUUUGUAUAGUGUAUGUGAUGAAAUAAGCCAAAAUAAUUGAAAAAUCUAAACAUCGAAGGUUUUAAUUUCCGCAUACAAAUGGCGGAUAUAUCGUUGCUCCCAAACAUGUACAACCAUAAUGAUAUAGUUUCAUUCAAAACUUGAAUUUGAUCCAAAUAAUUAGUGUCAUUGUGUUGAUACCAACCACCCUAAACGCAUGUAAUGAAUCUAAUACAGUGCAAUUGACUUGCAUAUUUUGUGUGUGUGUGUGAGAGAGAGAGAGAGAGAGAGAGAGAGAGAGAGAGAGAGUUUGUUAAUAAUCCAUGGUUAAGAAAAAAAUAAUCAAAACCACCAUUAUUUAUUUUAUUUUUUUGGUUCUUCACAAACCUCUCUGUGUUUCUAUUUAUUGUCAUUUCCCCCAUUUUAUCAGAAAUUGUUGGAGAAAAGCAUACAACAAUUUCUGGGGCUUCCCAUUUCAACCAAAAGAGGAGGUACGUUUUAUUAUCCCAUUUCUGCAUUAUUUAUUGUAUUUUCCUAAAAUUAUAAAUAAUUUAAGUGUAAAAUUCAUUUUUCUUUGAUCUCAAUGAAAUUAUGCAUAUUGAAGGCAAAUAUAUUGGUCAACAACAAUGAUCUUGUAAUUAUCCAAGAUUUUGAAUUUGUUUCCGACAAAUAGUAAUUGUAAUAGAUCUUUAUCGUUCAUAUAAACACCAAAAACGAUGUAUGUUUUUUUUUUCUUCUGAUGUACGGAUUAAUAAUACCGAUCGUGUGAAUAUUUCACCCAAUGUAGCAUAGAAUAAACCUGAUUCACAUGCAUACUCACGUGUUGUCCUAAACUAACAUUUGCAUAUAAGAAGAGGAGAAAAGCAACCGCACCACCAUGAGCUCCACCACCACCACCGCCGCCGUGCAUGCCGCCUUCCUCCUCUUCCUCCUCAAUGCCGCCUUCAUUCCGGCGGUUUACGCAAAGAACGAAGAACAACCACCCCCUGGCAAAGUCAUCGUACUAACCAACAACCACACCAACUACCUAAGCAUACGUUGCUUCUCGUUCGACAACGAGUUCGACGUGACCCACCUCCGCUCGUGGGGCCAGUACAAAUUCCGGGUGAGGAAGAGAGUUGUGUACCCUUCCUCCACCAUGUUCAACUGCUCAACCAAUAUGGGCACUUUCGUAGCCUUUAAAUAUGACUACGAAUGCUGCAAAGAUAAAUACCAGACCUGCGAUUGGAGAUUCGACGAAGAUGGUGCUUAUAGGUGGGACCCGAAGAUGCUCACUUGGAUUUCGGUUGAUUAUGCUCCGAAUUACGAGUCACUUAACAGAGGUGGUGUCAUCAAAGGGUACUUUGCUAACUAGAACCGAAUUUAUUCGGAAGAAUAAUGGGGUGGUUUAUGUACGUGUUACGAAAUAUGAAUCAUCGUAUGUAGUCUAGUUUUUGUGGCACAGAUCCUAUGUUGGUUCUUGUAUAACUCAGAAUAUAGGAAAUAAUCGGCUUCGAUAUUUCCUCAAGUGAAUAAUUUUCCAAAUUGCAUGCAAAACUCGGAAUAAUGUCAAAAACAACUGAUUGUUGGUAAUUGAAUAAGUAAACAAAACAAAAAAACUGCAGAAAGUGUGAUGCAUGUACCCGUAAAAGGAAUAAUCUUGCAUGCAGAUGUGGAUCGUUAUCAAGAUUAUCUGCGAGAAAAUAUCUAACCGUUCGAUUAGGAAACUGUAAAACAACUGGAACUGAGGAGAGUGUGUCUGAAAGUAAUGAGGUGAUGCGGUGAUUCUGAAAUGCAAAGCGUAUUAGCCGUAACUAAUGGGAAGGUAUCUUUGACUCAACAGCCACUAAAGUUGAGCUUCUUCAAUACUUUUGCGUAAGCUGGAGGGACAAUACCAGGUUGUCUGAGACGACGUUUAGACUUCUUGGACUGCAAAUAAAUAAAGGAAAUCCUAGAUUAGCAUCGACUAUUAGGCAGUUAUUCAUUAACAAGUUCAGAUUUUAAAUGGGAACACAUAAAAUGAAACACGCGAGAAGAUAAAUAGAAUGAUUUGCAUGAAAAGGAAAGAGAAAAGAACCACUCAUGUAUCUAGAUUUACUUUUACUACUGAAGAACUAAUUUUUUCUCAUACUUGCGUAAUUUAAAAUUACACAUCGAAAACAUUAUAAUCAUUUCAGGUCGAUCAAUGGCAGGCUAGAUAUAUACCAUGUAGUUUGCACUUUACUAAAUGCUUGAUUUGUGGGUUAUGAAUUAAAUCAGAUGCUCUAUUGGAACUCGUUACAUGAUAAUGUGGCACUAACAACCAAUAAAGUAAUCCAACCAAUUUAUGUCUUGAACAACAAAUUAGCUUAUUAAAGUUCUUUCUGACUGCCUCUCGCCUCUUUUAAAUUUCGAGAAAUUCUGUCGUAAAAAACAUAAUUAUUUCACCAAGUAGGCGGGGAAGCAUGUAGAGGACAGUCGAUACAAAAUAUCAAGAUAAUGCUUUAAACGCUUAACAAUGUUUUUAAGCAAUAAAUCAUAAACGAACUUGCAGAAAACCUGCUAUGAGAACUAAUUCCAUUUUUUUUAUUUGUAUAAGUUGUUAGUAAGAUGCAACCGAUAACAAACCUUUAAAUGUGCGUUGUGCCUCUUUCCCUCCUUCCAGCGCCUGUACUGCCCAUCCUUCAUUAGCCUAAAUCUUCCUUUAAAUGAACUAAAUACGUAAAAUAAUAAUAGAAUCAACAUCCUUUGUUAACAAAUGAUUACGCAAGGAAAUGAAAAAAAAAAAUCUAUACAUGUUGACAAAAUCGUGUAUCAUAUACGUACGAGUAGCCUUUGAUUUUGAUUUUCUUGACUUUGGAUUUUAUUGGAGUCAUGGGCUGCCUACUCUUCAACUUCCUUACCCUCUGCUUAGCGGUGAUAUGCCGCACUUGCGUUAGCUAAAAAAAAAACACAAUUUCGAAAGGAAAAUUGAAUGAGAUAACGGUGAGCAAAACCAAUAUAAUUUCAUUCAACAUGUUAUGUUGUUAUACAUCGAUGAGAGCCAUUCCAUCAGUGAAGUAACUAACAGUUGCUAACUAAAUAUUUCAAUUCGAUAAUCGAGCCAUUCCAUAAGUGAAGUAACUAAUAGUUGCUAACUGUUAAUUUCAAUUCGAUAAAACAUGAAACACAACCUAAGCUUCAAAAUGUGUUAUCUUCUCAAAAUAAAAAAAAAUAAAAAAAACAUGAAAAUCAAGGUACAAACUUUGUAGAAAAAAAUAAGCAAGUGUAAGCAUUCCAUUAUGAAUAAAAUGCGAUCAAAUUCCUGCAGAAAACUCCAUAAAAACAAAUAUAUCUUCCAUUUUCCCCUUCUUCGAAUCAAUCAAAAGAGUUCAAGCAACAUAGACAUACUUCUUAUAGAUAAGAGGGAGGGUUUAAAAAUUGAUACUUACAGAGAUUGGAGAGUAGGAAAAAUGGGAAAAUGGUGGAGCAUCGAGCAGCGGCUUGAAAUUGGGGGAAAUCACGGAAUGGGUGAAAGUGGGUUUGUGGAGUAAAUUCGGAGAAAUGUGGAGGAAACGAUUGGAAACGGAAGGGAGGAGGCGGCGGUGGUGGUGGUGGGGUUUAGGAAUGGAAGUAACGGCUGCCAAGUGGCGGAGCUUCGAGCACCAUCUCUGCAUCGUCUCUGCGUGUGUGUGUGUGUGUGUGUGUGUUUUUUUUGGAGGUUUUAGGGAUCACAGUAAUGGUGAAUUAGGGGUUGGGGGAGAGAGACGAUUUCUGUAGGUGAAAAUAAAUUAUUAAUAAAUAAAUAUUAAAUAUUAAAAUAACAAAUUUAUGAUUAACUCUAAAGUAAAUAGUAAAAUACAGUUUUGACCUUUCUAAUUUUUACUCUUCAACACUUGGCAAUAUUUGGAAAAUAAUUUGAGAAUGAAAAUAAUAUUUAUAUGUGAUAUUUUGAUCAGACACAAAAGUUAAAUUAUGUAUCCUUAACAUUAUUAGUUUAUGUAGCUUAGUUAUAUUUUUACCCAUACAUUUAAGGGUAAAUUACAAUCACCCCUGAGGUAUGGUCAAAUACGAAAAACUUCAUUUUGUUUGGAUAAUUACAUCUACCCCUUAAUUAUGAAUUUUCUUACACCUCCACCUUUAUGGUGACAAAUUCAAUAUAAUCAUCUAAAUUUCAUAGAAUGUGCUCUAGUUUGUACUCGUUUUGUGUAAAAAUACAGUUUCAAAGCGCAUCUUAUGAUCAUCCUGCUUCAAAACGCGGAGCUCGAAUGUGAUAAAAUGGGUACAAAAUAGAUAAUAUUCCAUAUAAUCAAGAAGAUUCCACUAAAUCUGAAACUGCAAGGAGUGGACGUGUAAGAAAAUUUAUAGUUGAGGGGUUGUUGUAAUUACCCAAACAUGAGGGGGGUUUUGUAAUUUUAUCAUACAUCAGGGGUGGUUAUAAUUUACCCAACAUUUAAAUGAUAUAAAUAUGCAUUUUUUUACUUUACUACUUGACCAAUUUUUUUACUUUAUUACGUAGCACUUCGGUUGCAUCGACAAGUAGUUAUAGAAACUAAGCCAUGGUGUGUUUGUACGUAAAAAUGAAAUGCAUGAAUUUUGAGAAUUUAAACAACUGGAAGCAUUUUAAAUCGAGAAAUUUUGGGCUGCAAAUGAAAUUAUAAAAUUUUAGAAAUUUAAAAAGAAUUUCAAAAUACUGAGCUCGAAAGGUAUAAAACGGGUACUAACUCGAGAAUACUCCACAUAAUCUAGAAGAUUCCACUAAAUUUGAAACCCUAAGAAUGAACAUGUAAGAAAAUUCAUGGUUGAGGGGGUCAUUGUAAUUAUCAAAAAAAAAAGUAUUUUUUCGUGAUUUACCUUACCUCAGAAGAGUGAUCGUAAUUUGCCAUAAAUUAUUUUCACAGAUAGAAAAAGUAGCCAAGGAACAUUUUACUAUUCUAGUCAUAUUAUUAUAAAUAUUUUCUUUCUGAAACUCAUAUAUAAUUAUUAGUUUUGGUAAUAUGUGUAAUGAAAAUUGACAAUUAAUUUGAAAAUAGGGGCUCUUUGAGGAAACCUCCUCAUUAUUUUUUUUAAUGGAGAGAUGUCCAAAAUAUUUCAGUCCAUUUGAGAAAAGCCCACACCCAUUUUGAGCUAUUAUGCUUUCCAGCUUUGCCCCCACCCGCCACAUUAUCACUGGGUCACGCGUUCAGCAAUUAAUUUUUUUUUUUUUUUUUUUUUUUUUUUUUUUUCCGUUUUUCCGUUUUUUUCCCCUUCUUUUCUGUACCAAUUUUCUUAAUCGACUAUGGAGCAUAGUCGAUUAGCUUUCAUAGUCGAUUAAGAAAAUUCUUUAUUUUUAUUUAUUUUUUGUUUUUUUACUCUUUUUUUCCUAUAUCAGUAUAUUAAUCAACUAUGAUGAAGCAUAGCCGAUCAAAAGUCUGCUACUAAAAAUAAAAUCAAAACUGCAAAAAAAUGCAAAAUCAACUAUAUUUACAAAAAAACAAAAAUAUAAGAACGUUAUAAUUGAUUUAUACAAUUGGAAUCAAUAAACAAAAAAACCAAAAAAAAGAAGAAGAUUGGAGUCGAUCAACCUUAAUCGGUACCAGAGCAUAGUCGAUUAAGAAUCUGCUACUAAAAAUAACAAAUCACAACUGCGAAAACAUGCAAAAUCACUUAUAUAUUACAAAAACAGAAAAUAUACAAACAUUAUAAUUGAUUUAUACAAUUGGAAUCAGUAAACGAAAAAUCCAAAAGAACUAAAAAAAAAUUGGAGUCGAUCAACCUUAAUCGACUACUAGAACAUAGUCGAUUAGCUUAAUCGACUAUAAAUAUGUACAUAGUCGAUUAAUGUUUCAGCCUGCGCGAAAUUCUCUACACGCGCCGUUAUCCGCCCAAUCCAACAAAAAACCCUAAUCUGCCUCCUCGUCGUCACCACACCGCUGCUACAAUACACUAUUCAACCAAUCCCUAACAAGAAUAAAAUAAAUAAAUUAAAUAAUUCAUACAAAAAAACACAAAUUAACAUUUCAAUGUCCAAAAAAAAAAAAAAAAGAGAAACGAUUCAGUCAUCAUCUUCAACGUCGUCGGUGGAAACCACCGCCGCGAACUACAGAUCCAUCACCACCCAUCACGCAGCGACGGAAGGCGGUGACAAACACUCUCCACCGCCACCACCACCAUCGGUCGAUGUCUUGCUUUUCUUCUGAAUUUCAGUCGAGAAGAGAAGAGAGAAGACGAGAAGAGAAAAGACGAGAAAAAAAGAAGAGAGAACGACAGAAGAGAGAAGACGAGAAGACGAGAAAAAAAAAAGAGAACGGCAAUGGGUUAGUGUAUUGAAAAGAUUUAAUAUUAAUAAGGAUGGUUUGAGAAUUAUUAAAUAAUAUUUGAGUAGAAUAUUAGGUAAGAGGGUUUUCUCUAAUUAUUGUUAGGAGAGAGUGUUUUCUUAACUUAUUUUCCUAGAUGAAGGGUUCUUGCUAAUUAUCCCUUGAAAAUAAGUAGACAAAAAAAAAAACCUUUAUUUAUGUUUCCUAUUUUAACGGACAAAAGAAAAGGAAAAAGGAAAUAGAAGUAACUCACAUGCCGAUAAAUCCUCGUAUUAUAAAUAAUAAAUUUAUUAUUUAUAUAUAAGUAGCAGUUAUACUAUUUUUACGGAGAAACUAAAGUGAAAUUUUACAAUUGAAGUGAAAAUAGGAAAGUACAGACUAGAAAAGUGAAAAGGAAAAGAGGCUUCUUCUUCUUCUCUUCUUUCUUCACAGAGAAACCCUAGAUUUGUGCAUUGUUGAAUUCCCGGCGAUUACAAGUUAGCGCUUCUUUAUGGUUCGCCAGCAUGUGCACACAGAUCUAGAAACAGUUCAAUUCUGCUGCUCGUUACGAGUUUUGAAUAGGGUAAGGGUUUUGUAGAGAGAGAGAGAGUUAGAGAGAGAAAGAGAGGCGGGGUUCGGUUAUGUCUGUGCUGUAAUUUUCAGAUAGAAUUGUGGAGGCUUAUUUUGUUAGGAAGCUUUGAUUCUAUUGGUUGAAGAUAAUUUUUUUUUUAAUUCGGGGUUAUUAAUUUUGUAUUUGCUGAUCGAGGUUGGAUGGUGUUUUAAUUUGGUUUUGAGGUUGGAAUGUUGAGGAAAUUACGCACAUUAUAUUACUCUUGAUUUUGGAAUUACGAGUUUCUCCCUGCCUUCACAUUAUUGCUUAGAUUUUUUUCAUGGUUGAUGUAUAAUUGGAUACUGUAAUUUGUUGAAGAAGUUUUCGUGGGAAGUAAAGGAUCGUGUUUUUUGACUGGAAGUUGGUAAAUUUUGCUAAGGUGCUUUAGGUGUCCUCGUUUUUUUUUGUUUGCAUUGUUGAUUUGGUUACUGGUGGAGAUUUUGCGCUGGAGUGGUUGGGGGUGCCCGGAGGCGUCACUAUGUCGUCUUUGAGUCGAGAAUUGGUAUUCUUGAUACUUCAGUUCUUGGAUGAGGAGAAGUUCAAGGAGACUGUCCAUAAGUAAGUAGUUUUCGUGGCUUUUGGCUUACCUUUGCAUUUUGUUAAUCUUGUUGCGAGUUUUAGUUCGUGAUUGAUUGUUGUACUUCCCUCUAUAAUGCAGUAAAUGUGGAGUAACAAGGCUUAUUAUAUGGCAUUUAGUUGGAUUCACUAUAAAAUAGUGUUGAUGUAAAUAGAUUUCAAGGAUAUCUGAAUUUUAUUUCGUUAGAUUGGUGUUUUUAGAUUUCUUACAUGACGUAUAAUCAUCUGCCUCAUUUGGACGGUUUAAUUGUAUUCUUAGCCAAAACGGAAUAGACAUGCCAAUUUAUGUACGUCCCCAUGCAUAAACAGCUACUUGCUUACAAGGAGAAUAUACUAAAGCAACUCUUGGAUGGACCACGGGAAAUUGUAUUACUUUAUGUCUUAAUUGUGUCACAAAUUCAUGUAUACUUCCCUUAGGUUGGAACAAGAGUCUGGUUUUUUCUUCAAUAUGAAGUACUUUGAGGAUGAAGUCCAAGCUGGUGAAUGGGAUGAAGUUGAGCGUUAUCUAAGUGGAUUUACGAAGGUUGAGGACAACCGCUAUUCUAUGAAAAUUUUCUUUGAGAUUAGAAAGCAGAAAUAUCUUGAAGCGCUUGACAGGUAUAUGACGGUAUCAAAAAAUGUAGGAUAGUAAAUUUGAUAUUAGUGCUCCCUUUGAUAGCUGUUUUAUAAACUACGUUUAAUGCUUUUCAGACAAGAUCGAGCAAAAGCAGUUGAGAUUCUUGUCAAGGAUCUGAAGGUGUUUGCCUCUUUUAAUGAAGAUCUUUUCAAAGAGAUCACACAGCUAUUGACUCUCGACAAUUUUAGGUAUUAAAAUUUUAGUAAAAUAGUUUGAAUGCAGUUCUGGACCUUUUUUUUAUCUUUUGAUUUGGUAUGGUAAUAUCUAUAGGCAGAAUGAGCAGCUCUCGAAAUACGGGGACACAAAGUCAGCACGCAACAUUAUGCUGGUUGAACUUAAAAAGCUUAUAGAGGCAAAUCCGUUGUUUCGUGACAAACUAGCUUUUCCUCCUUUCAAGGCUUCAAGAUUGAGAACACUCAUUAACCAAAGGUAUAUGCCAGCACUCUGAUGUCGAUAUAUAUAAUUCCAUUUUGUCUUUUAAUUUCCUCUAUUAUGAUGAUGUUCGGGUUGCUUAUUGCUUCUUUUCGAUAUUAGAUUUCAUUAUCUGUUUUGCCUUUUUUGAAUAUCACAAUGGUUGAUAUGCAUAAUCUUUUAAUCGUAUUUUCUUAUUUGAUGGUCUUGCAGUCUUAAUUGGCAGCAUCAGCUCUGCAAGAAUCCACGAUCAAACCCUGAUAUCAAAACACUUUUUGUUGAUCAUACUUGUAAUACGAGUAAUGGAGCUCGUGCCCCGCCUCUUACUAACACCCCUCUUACUGGACCAAUUCCAAAACCUGGUGUUUUUCCUCCUCUUGGAGGCCAUGGUGUAAGUAGAGUAGUUGUUUUAGACUGAAACUGUGAUAAAUUUCUUUGUAUCUCACUCCUUUUUCUUUUUAAAAUUAUUUCCUUUGCAGCCUUUCCAGCCCGUUGUUUCUCCUCCUCCAAAUGUUAUGGCAGGUUGGAUGUCCCCUGCUAACUCUUCUAUACCUCAUGCCGCUGUUGCUGCAGCUCCUCCUGGGCUUGUUCAGGCACCUAGUCCCGGUAAAUUGUUCUAACAAUCAGCAUUAGCUUAUUCAAAGUCUUCUCACAUUACAUUAAAUUUGAGAUUCAGUACAAUGUGCACUUACAUUACAUGAUAAUGAGAUUGAGUGAAGUAUGUUCUUUUACCCGUUAUUGCCAGCUGCAUUUUUGAAACAUCCAAGGACUCCUCCUGGUGGUCCUGGAAUGGAUUACCAGACUGCUGAUUCUGAGCAUUUGAUGAAACGUCUUCGUACUGGACAACCUGAUGAGGUGCGGACAACUGUAGAUGUGACUCGUUAAUAUGUUAUAUUAUAUUAAGUUUCACCUCUACUGUUUGGUUUCUUAUACUGAAUGUUCAAUGAUGAUGCACCUCAAUAUCAUGACAUACUUUUGAUAUUGUGUAGAUGUCAUCAUUUUCCGGUUCUACUCAUCCGGCUAAUAUGUAUUCACCGGAUGACCUUCCCAAAACUGUUGUACGGAACCUUAGUCAAGGAUCUAAUGUUAUGAGCAUGGAUUUUCAUCCGCAGCAACAGACUUUUCUCCUAGGUUGAUUCUCGAUUAUCCACUUUCUUUAGACUAAUCUGAAUCUUGCAUUACGUAACUGCACGGAAAUUCCCAGAAGGAUGAAAUCGUCAUUUAUAUUAUUGGAUUAUACGUGCCUCUGAUAAUGUGACUAACUGUUAUGUACAUCGUAGUUGGAACGAACGUUGGUGAUAUUAGCAUAUGGGAAGUUGGUUCCCGAGAAAGGUUAGCACUUAAAACCUUCAAAGUGUGGGACAUAUCAGCUUGUUCAAUGCCAUUCCAAGUGAGUAUUUAAUAUGCUUGGCUGCUUCUGCCUUUUAAAUUUACUCUAAAUCUUUCAACUUUUUAAUGAUUUUGCUUCUGUGUCUUAAGUUUGGUCUCAAAUCUCUUAUUGAUUUUAUAUUAAUAUUUUAGAAUUUAACUAAGCUUUCACUUUACUUCUUUUCAGACAACCUUGGUUAAAGAUGCCACUAUAUCUGUUAACAGAUGUGUGUGGGGCCCAGAUGGGUCGAUACUUGGUAUACAAAAUUGUCAUGUUAUGUCAUGCACUUAAUUCUGAAUCAUCUUGUUCGGUAAUUGCUGAUAUUUUAUAUGUUUUAAUUUUGAAGGUGUUGCUUUCUCAAAGCACAUUGUUCAGAUAUAUACGUAUAACCCAGCUGGAGAGUUGAGACAACACUUAGAAGUGAGAAUUAUUUUAAAACUCUCUCUCUCAUCAUACGGUGUUUCAAAUACUGAUGAAUCUUGCCAAAUUGUAGAUUGAUGCUCAUAUUGGCGGGGUGAAUGAUAUUGCCUUUGCUCAUCCCAACAAGCAGCUCUGCAUUGUAACAUGUGGGGAUGACAAGACGAUCAAGGUAGCAGCCAUUUCAUCUAUUAUGGUCUCGCAAUGUGGUAUUUUUUCCUUUAACGUUUUACUGUUGUGUUAUAGGUAUGGGAUGCGGUAGCUGGUCGCAGGCAAUAUACCUUUGAAGGUCAUGAAGCUCCUGUGUAUUCUGUCUGCCCUCACUAUAAAGAGAAUAUUCAGGUAGUUUAUUAGUAAUUUGGUUCCUAUCUUCUUUAGUGUGGUGCUUUAGAAUUUGAAACGAUGAACUUUUUAGGCAUUAUUUGAUAGAUAAAAAUGAGAGAGGGCUAUCUGAUUCUAGCCUCUGUAUGCAGUUCAUUUUCUCUACUGCAAUUGAUGGGAAAAUAAAAGCGUGGCUUUAUGAUUCUCUGGGAUCGAGAGUAGAUUAUGACGCCCCUGGACUUUGGUGCACAACUAUGGCAUACAGUGCUGAUGGAACCAGGUAUUUGUAAAAUCCUGCUGCUUUGGAAAAGAACUGGUAUUUUCUAGGAAAUUUUUGUAUGUGUUGUUAAGAUGGACUUAAAAUAAAAUUAUUGUGCAUAGGUGUUUGAAGUGGAACCACUUUGGUAAUAUGUUUAGAUUAAAUGGAUAGAAGAUUUUUAAAGAUUUAACCGACAAAAUGGGCAUGGACCACAAUUAAUGCUUUAACUAUUAGAAUGUUUAGUUCAAGGAAAUGACGACAGUAAAUACCAUCCAAUGUACUACUCCCCUGCUGAAUACUUUAGUCAUUGCGAACAAUGAAAUUGUUGCUUGUUAAUGCCUAUCUUCUGCAGUUCUUUGCGAAUAAUGCAAUUUACACAGAUUACUGUAUAGAACAAAAGCAUUUAUCCUAGUGGAAUUAUAUAAACACAUUGGACCCUUCAUCCUACGUGAACUAAUAUUGCAGUAUUACUGUACGCUGGCUGGGAACAAUGAUCUUCGUUUCUGAAGGUUAUCAGUUGUGAAGUCCGGGGGAGUUAGGUUUAGAAACUCUACAAAGGUUUUGCUAUUGUUCUUUGCUUAAAUCAUAACAUGUACAACUUCUUAAAUAAUGAGAAAGCAAUAGAUACUAGCACUGUGGCUGCAGAGUGUCCAUGGAGAAAUAAUAGAAUAGUUCUGAACUUACCGGCCUCGGCAAAAGUUGCAGCAAUCUGACUUGCGGUUUUUAUAUUUUGCUCAAGUCAAAACUUUAUAGUGUGACAGCUACAUUAGAUAUUGGCUAAACCUCUCAGUUAAUUUUUGUAUUAUUUUGCUAGCUCCGCAGGCUUCAUAUGGCUGUUGAACUAGCUAAAUGUUAGGUAUGAAAUCCAUGUCUUAAGAUAUAGUUAAUUCAACUUGAGGGCUAGCUUGUGCAUGUUUGAGACCAUUUAAUGGAGGAGCUCUGGGCAGCUAGUCACAAAAAAAUCUGUUGACCCUACUGAAGAAUAUGUAGCAAUAAUACUAUUGAACUUAAAAGGAACUCACCCAAUUCGAUCCACUUGUCUUUUCGUGGUAUUAGUAGGUCUGGUAAAUUUUUUGAAUCUAUAUCGUGAUGAACCAAUGGACUAAUCUUAGUGAAAUGGAAACAUUACAAAAUAUAUGUCCACACAGUUCAUGUAUUAAAGUUCAUAAGAUGGCUCGGGGGCUGUUCAGUUAGUUAUUUGUUUGUAUAAUCCUUUUCAGGCUCUUCUCUUGUGGAACCAGCAAAGAAGGGGAAUCUCACCUGGUCGAGUGGAAUGAGAGUGAAGGAGCAAUAAAGAGGACAUAUUCUGGUUUUCGUAAGCGUUCUUUGGGUGUUGUGCAAUUUGACACAACAAGGAACCAUUUCUUAGCAGCCGGUGAUGAGUUUCAGAUAAAAUUUUGGGACAUGGAUAAUACCAACAUUCUUACUUAUACUGAUGGUGAUGGUGGACUUCCCGUAAGGAUCUGUAGCAUAUUCAACUUGAUUUAUUUAUUUAAUUAUCAUAAAAUUGUAAAAUUAUUCUGUAUUAUUAUUGCAGGCAAGCCCUAGAUUAAGAUUCAAUAAGGAAGGUUCUUUGCUGGCUGUUACAACUAGUGAUAAUGGAAUUAAAAUCUUGGCAAAUAAUGAUGGGCAGCGCAUGUUGAGGAUGUUGGAGACCAGAGCAUUUGACGGGGCACGCGGUCUUUCUGAAGCGGUUAAUGUCAAAGUAAUUUUUUUUUUUUUUGCUUUUUCGUGUUUUGCUUUCGACUUUUUCAAUUAUUUUUGUUGUAAUUUUCUCCUACAUAUCUCUUUGUACAGCCUAUUAUUGGUGGUCCUUUAGGUCCCAUUGCUAAUGUUUCUUCGUCAGCAUCACCCAUCCACGAGCGUCCCGAUAGAAUUCAGCAGGCCAUGUCCCUUCUGGUAAUGCUUUCAUUUUCUUUACCGGACUUGCUUUUUUUAAUCAAUCAGUUGGCGGAUUCUGUUUAUCAAAUUUUGUGUGUCGUAGAAUCUUCUGCUCAUUUGAUUUUAAACCAAUUACAGGGUAACAUGGAAAGCAGUAGGGUAGCGGAUGUAAAACCAAGGAUUGAUACCACUGACAAAAUUAAAAGCUGGAAGUCCCCUGACAUAUCUGACUCGUCUCAUGUCAAGACUCUGAAAUUGCCCGAUUCUCAGACACCAAGCAAAGUAUGUUACAGGGGUGGAUGAUUUGUCGAAUCGACAUACAUCUGUUCUUCCUUUGUUUUAAAUAGUUUGAUUUCGCAAGAAGAUAAUUAGAUUUUUAUUGAGUCACGGGUGCUUUUCUUGAUUAACCACUAUAAAUAAUGUCCUGCAGAUUGUGCGGUUACUAUACACAAAUUCUGGGCUAGCAGUGCUAGCAUUGGCUUCAAAUGCUGUUCAUAAACUUUGGAAAUGGCAGCGCCACGAACGCAAUCCAUCUGGAAGGGUCAGAAAAGUGUUUCAUUUUCUUUGCGACAUGAUUUAAUUAGCUCUCUCAUUUCAUUUAAUCUAAACGAUUUGAUGUGUACUUUCAGUCUUCUGCCUCUAGCGUGCCACAGCUGUGGCAGCCUCCGAACGGGGCUCUCAUGUCUAACGACCUGAAUGAUGGCAAACAACCAGUUGAAGAUUCAGUUGCAUGUAUCGCCUUGUCUAAAAAUGAUUCUUACGUCAUGUCUGCUUCAGGGGGGAAGGUCUCCUUGUUCAACAUGAUGACUUUUAAGGUUGAUUAACAAACUUUCUUGAAAAUCCCGGAAAUGAUUGUUCGAGAAUAUUUGCGUUUAUGCUCUCUAUUUGGAACUAAUAUGUAUUAUUUAAUUCUGGUCAGGUCAUGACAACUUUCAUGGCGCCCCCUCCUGCAGCAACGUAUCUGGCGUUUCAUCCUCAAGAUAACAAUAUAAUUGCUAUUGGAAUGGAAGACUCUACAAUACAGAUUUACAAUGUCAGGGUUGAUGAGGUAAACUCUCUGCUCAGCUGUUAGUCGACUUGAAUUUUG
rnacentral:lncRNA from 1 species